UCAUCCCCUCAAAUCGCUUAUGUAGGCUCUCACUGUAAAUCCAAAAUCCCUCCCCAAAUUAUUCCGGUAGCUAGCCGACGCUCCGUUCAAUUUUAGUCUGUGUCAAUGGUGGAAAUCGAGCCAGAGCAAACCACCCACAACCUUUCCCAAAUUCGGCAUCCAACAUUUCUUCGAGCGUUACACUCAGAACGACGAUCGAGCGGAAAGACGUUUGCUGUGGUCUGAUGGGUGUAGAGCGACACAGUCCGCGACCACUUAUCGCUACGGGAAGGGGACGGCGCGCUGGUGAUGAGGAGCUUCCUUCUUGGACGAGAGGAAGAGGUGUAGGAGAUAGUCAAAGAUUGAUGACCUGGAUGCAGAGGAAAGGCUUGAAGAAUGGGAGAAUGUGGACAAUGCGUGAAGGAGUUUGUGAGACUCUUUGAGGAGAUCUGCAUCUCCCUGCUUGCUUGGAAUGCUAUCUGCUACUCCUUCCAUUCCUCCUGUGUUCUUCUCCUGUGUUGUUGGGUGCCACUGACCAGUAGCUUUGCGGGAUAUAACUUUAACAUAGGUCCGAUGACAGAGGAGCAUCUGAUGAUCAAUUUUCUCAGCUACUCAGUUGGAAAUAUAAAGCACUUGACACGAAGUUUGGACAUUAAAAUGAUACUGACUGCAUUUUAGGGCCUGCCAAUGAAGAUCCAGAAUGCUGUAUUUGCGUAGCCAAGUACAGAGAAAAGGAAGAAGUGAGAUAGUUGCCCUCUUCUCAUAUGUUUCAUCUCUAGUGUGUGGAUCAAUGGCUCAAAAUCAUAUCAAGUUGUCCUCUUUGUAAACAAGAACUAGAGAGAUAGCAAUUUGAGAAUUUCGGAUCUGUUUUUUGUUUUUUGUUUUCUUUAGAACAUUGUCUUUUGUGUGUUUUGAUUUACUUUUUUACAUGGUUUCUUGGCGAGUUUAUGUUUGUACAGUUGAGCUCACCGGUAACCAAAACCGUACCUGAGAAUCUAUAAUCAAUCUUUCAGCACACCCCACAAAAAUAGCAGGAGAUGAUGUUGGAAUUUUUCACUCCCUUAGCUCUCCAAGACUUUACAAUACGUAUAUAUAUAUGUAUGAUUUUUAGUGUAUCAUAUUGUAGAUGUAGUUUUACCAAAAAUAAUACGGCAACCCGUAUUCUUAUUUAUACAUUAUGGUUACUAUAAUUCUUGUUUCCUUCAUUUCAAUUCAGUCGCCUAAUUUUUAUACACGUGUGUAUUUAUAUAUUAAGUUCUGGGAAUGCACAACCGAAUUUGAAUUCAGCAUAUUCACCAACAUAUAAUUAUAUAUAUAUAAUUCAUAUUUUUGAGCCAACCACAUGUUUAGAAAUGCCCAUUUUAAUUUAAACGGUUUCAAACACAAUCCUUUACAUGUAACAACAACCAAAAUUUUAUUUGGAUUUUUUUUAGUCACUGAGAGCAUCUUCAAAAAAGCAAGAGAUUUCAUAUCAUUUUUUAUUGAUCAUCGUUUAAUUUCAAUGUUAAUUUCCAUUUGUAAUCAAAUAAUGUAAAAGAUUUUUCAAGAGUUUAAUUAAGUACGAAAAAAUGACUAGAACUUUUCCACGAAAUAAAGUUAAGCUCUGUUCAGAUUACAAGAUGAUAUUCGAAAUACAAGAUGAUAUUCGAAAUGCUCUGAAAUUAUUGAAUUUUACAAAUUCUGAAUGGUCAGGAAAUUAGAAAUCCUGAACUGUUUCAUAUGUUGCUAGACAAAGCCAAACAAUUUAAGUCAAAAUAAUAAUAAUAAUAAUAAUAAUAAUAAAAUAAAACUUAGUGGAAGAGGUAAAAUGAGAGCUCCGAAGUAACACUUGCAUCCAACAACAUAGCAGUACAAUAUUACCCCCAAAAAAACAAAAAAAAAAAAAAAAAAACAAAAAAACAA